AUGAAGUUUAAAAUCUACAAGACUUCCAUUACUGAAAAUCUUACAAAAACCUCCAAAAUGAUCCUACAAAAGCAUAUUGCUGAUGUAAUUUGCAUCUUUUUAUUUCUUCCAUGUUUAUCCAGGAGGAAGUGCAGUAAAUCCACUGACCAGUGCAAAGAACAGGACUGGAGUCACAGCUGUAAUGAGAAAGUGGAGAUUCACUUCAAACCAAAGGUUUUGGAAAAGCUGAGAGAGCCGACCAUCUCUGACUCUGAACCGUCUGGACUGAAUCUUCAGCCGCUCCCAGUGUGUCAGUCUUGUGUUCACAUUGUUGACUCUGAUCAGUGGGUUCAGGUGGAGCCGUCAGUCUGUACAGAUGAAGGAGGGUCAGAGUUCAGGAUCAGCACUCCGGCGGGUCGAUUCGAGUGCAGCAGGACUAGAAUGCGAUGGGUCUGUGCUGGUGACGUCACUCUCCAGUACUGUGCAGUGGAUGGAUGUUUCCUCAGUGAAGAGCUGGAGAGGCGUCAGUGUGAGCGAAUUGGUCCUGUGAUUGAUGUGACAGUGAUCUCAGGGAAACUGGAGGAGGCCCAUCUGCCUCAUUACACCUGUUUAGGAGAGUCAUACCCCUCUCUCAAAAAUGAUGUGAGACUUCUCAGCAAAAACCAUGAAGGAAUAUCUUUACAAUCUGUAGAGUUGACCCGUUAUCAUGCCAAAAUACUCCAACCAUCCUUCUCUUUUGAUCAGUCAUCCCAGACCUAACAGACCAUUUCGGUUGAAAACACCUCACCUUCUUGAGGUUCCUGGUGCUUCUGUCCAUCCCAUAGAGGGGAUUUCAUUUAGAACAGACAUUGACCCAAACUUCUUCAAGGUCAAGCAACAUCAGCAUGAUGAUGUAAAAAUGAAUCUUAUCAGAGAGGAGGACAGGAAGUCUGUGUGAAAGGCUACAAUAUGGAAAAAAGAAUUUGACCCAGUAAAUCCAAGGCAAAUCCAAAAAGUGCAGCAUCUGCGUUCUGAGUUUGGUAAAGGUCAGUUCUUUGAGAAACACAGAUCAACUCUCAUUCAAAGAGUUAAAAAUGUGAAGAGCAUUGCAGAUAAACUGUAUGAUCAGAGAAUAAUUCAUGAGGAACUAUAUUCUGAAAUCACAUAUACUAAUUUGACCUGUCAGGAUAGCAUGAGAAAGAUCUGCUCCACAGUGCAUUCAAGUGGUGUGAUUGCAAAAGGUAAAUUCAUUGUAAUUCUUCAGGAAGAAGAGCUCUUUGAAGAACUGGUGUGUUCAGAUUCUUAAAGAUCUCUUAGUGAAUAUAUUGCUUUAGAUGGGCAACUGCCAGAUUAUGUUAAAUUAUUAAAUAUAAGUGUUUAAUGCUAGAAUGUAAGAUACAUUUAUUUCUGACAAAGAACUGAAAUAUUAAUUGAAAAAUACACGGCCAGAUUAACUGGCGACUGAUUACUCAUUAGGUACUGAUAUUUUUGCAAACUUAAUUAUUCAAGUUACAGACAACACACAAAUGAUCAGUAUAACUAUACAUGAACUCAAAGACAUCUAGACUACUUAAGUAUAUUUUGUUGUCUAAUAAGAUUGUUGAAUAAGGUGAAUGCAAUUUUUUUGUACAACUGUGUCUGUCCAGUUUCACAUGGCUUAGGUACAUUUACUGUAUAGUUUAAUCACUUCUUUUGUAAACUGAUUUGUGACACUACAGAUAAAUAAUAAUAAUCAUACAGUGUUUGUUUGUUUGUUUGGGGGGGGUGGGGGUGGGGGGAUGGGUAUUAACACAUGCCCCAGAUUGUGGUAACACUAUCAAGGCAGCAACAUAGAAAACUAGCCGACAGCAGAACAGCACAGGCUAUUUAGCUGAAAGUCCUGAGGCAUAAGUAUUUAGGGAAAAAAAUCUGUCAAAUAAGAUAUAUUAAAAUGAGUGUCAAGAUGUUUCAAAUAAGUGAAAUAAAUGGAAGUCAGCGGUAACCA
ensembl:lncRNA